AGUUAUUCCUCUUCACGCAUUCAGUAUCGCCCAUGGAGAAACAGGAACUACGACGGCUGCCGCGCCGAGUUUCAUCACCGGCAGCGGCAAUUCGACGUGGCGAUAUCUGCGUCAUCUUCACUUCGCCACCCCCGAUCUAAGCCUAAUUUAACACUGGUAUAAACACGAGAUAAAUCUUACCGGCGACGACGAAGAUGGAUAAAAAAAGAAGGACUGAGCUCCAACCACAACCUGCGCUAUAACAGCAGAAUCAACAACGUGAAAGGAAGAGAGAGCCCAACGAUAACGGCAGAAGCGGAUUCGUUGACGACGUCGACUUGAAGUUCUGGAGUUCGUAUGGUGACGUAUUGAAUUAAGUCGCGGUGGAAACGGUGGUUGCUUGAAGGUCGCGAUCAAGAGUUUGUUACGGUUGAGGCUAGGAUUUGCGUGAAGAAGAGAAUGGUGUUGAUGAAGCGGUUGAAGCGGUGUUGAUGAAGGUUUUGGUUAUGGAGGUUUAGUAGGUUGCAGAGUUGGUUAGAGAAUGGCGAGUUCUGUUAUGUGUUUUGCUUAGCGAGGGAAGAAGAAUAAUCCAGAAACGUAAAAUUCCCCCCAAAAUUACCGUGAAACCAUAUGUACUGCUUCCGUUUUUGGCGUUGGCUUGACGUAUGUGGCUUACGCUUGUUUGCACUGCGUGUUAGGAAUUAUGCAGCUUGCGUUGGCUUCACUACGUAGCGGUUCGUCAGCUUGGAGCUUGUUGCUGGCUUUUGUGCAGUUAGUCGCAUUUCUGCAGCAGGUUAUGCUUAUGGCUCGCGUAUCUUGGCUUAGUUUGGAAGUUGGCUGCACGUACGUUUUCUUGCAGCUUGCAGUUUUCAAGUUUCUUCUAUUAUGGAUGGUGGUUUUGUACGUUACAGCUGUAGCUUAUGCAGCUUUUUUCAUUUGCCUUAUUAGGAUAUAUGUAAAAUAUUAUGAAUUGUACUAAUGAAAAUUAAAUUGAAUGGAUUUUUUUUUGGAUAAUGAA